GAGUUCGAAAUCAAGGUGGGGAAAGCCUUUUCCCUCUAGAAGCGCUCCAACGGGCACGCAGCAGCCUCGGCUCCGGGGGCGCUUGCUGCCUGCCGCUGGGGCCGCGUGUCACCCUUGCAACCGCCCCCAAGUGCGUACUAAGGACGUCCCGGCCUGCCUUCCGGGGAACCGCGGCUCGGAGCGCCGCAGGGGCUGGUCGAGGGCCCGCGGGGCGCAGGGCUAGGCGCCCGGCGCAUUCUCCGCGUCCUCCAGCAGAGGGGCCGGCCGGCGGCCCGCAUAAUAGCCGCCUUGAUGCCCGCGGCCGGCAGCGGGAGGGGAGGCGGGCGGGGCGGGCGGGCAGGAGGGUGUGUCCGGCCGCCGCGCAGCCCUCCGCCCUCGUCCCUCGCCACCCGCCGCCGGAGCUCGGACCAGGCGCCUGGCGCUCUUCGUCCGUCGCCGCGGCCGCGCAGCCCGGAGCCGGCGGGAGCCUCGUGUUCACGAUGUCGGUCGCGCUCAGCAACAGGUUCCAAGGAGUUUCUCUGUGACCAGAAGUACAGUGAUGAAGAGAACCUGCCCGAAAAGCUUGCAGCCUUCAAAGAGAAGUACAUGGAGUUUGACCUGAACAACGAGGGCGAGAUUGAGCACUGCCCAGUUUUCUUUGAAACGCCCUGGACAUCCUGGCACCUAGGGUCUGGCACCAGUCCUGCCCACCUCACCACUUGGACCUCAUGUCUUUAAAGAGGAUGAUGGAGAAGCUUGGGGUCCCCAAAACACACCUGGAGAUGAAGAAGAUGAUCUCGGAGGUGACAGGUGGGGUCAGCGACACCAUCUCCUACCGAGACUUUGUGAACGUGAUGCUAGGGAAACGGUCAGCUGUCCUCAAGCUAGUCAUGAUGUUUGAAGGAAAAGCCAACGGGAGCAGCCCCAAGCCAGCUGGCCCCCCUCCAGAGAGAGACAUUGCCAGCCUGCCCUGAGGACCCCUGCCUGGACCCGCCCCUGCCCUCCCUUCCCUUGUCGACUCACUGUGAUCUAUCUUUGUUUUGCUUGGUUGUUUUGCAUUUGUUUGUGGGCUUUUCAUCAGCAGAAUCAGUGAUCUCUGUGUAAAGCACAAAUUAUCUGCCUUAAAGGGGCUCUGGGUUAGGGAUCCUGAGCCUGGGUUACCCUCCCUCCCGCUUCCCUCCUUCCCCCCUCCCUGUGCAGAAGGGCUGACAUCAAACCAAAAACCCAAAGGGGCAGGGACGGGGAAGGGGGAAGCCUGUGAUCCCCACCCUUGGAGCUGGCACCAUCAUCCUGCCAGCAGGUCUCGGAGCUAAGUGCAAGCUCAAUGGCCUGGCUCUGGUGAGGAUCUCAGCCCAUCUGCAGAAGGCCCUGGAGUAGGCACACGUCUGCAGGGCCUUCUUAGGGUUUUCUUGGAGAGCUCUGUGGUCCCGUGCUCCUGGGCUGCCCAGGAUGUGGCUGCCCAGUGUCCCACAUCCCCAGCUAAUCCCCCUUCAGUCCACACUUCUCAUCCUCAGUGAAGUGAUGGAGAGGAGAGAGGCUUGGCAAUUUGAGUGCUUCAAGAAUGUUCCAGAAGUAAUCCUGUGGCCUUGCCAUCCCAGCUACGGCUUUACAGGCAGCUCAGUGGGCAGGUGCAGCCCCCUGUCCCUUGGCUGGGGCAGCAAAAGGCUUUGGAGACAGUGGAGGCCAGAGGCCUUGGGGCUGUGGUGGUCAGCUCAUCUCAUGCUGCCUUUUUGGGAGGAUGCCAAGGGCAAGAGGAUCGGAGAAAGGAACAAACUGCUCAUGACAAAAAGAGUCAGCACCACUGUCAAGCCAAGAGCUGGAAAUCAGGAGUUUGCCCUUCUGAUCCCAAUCUGCUCAAAACCCAACUGCACUUUGCCUGCCACCUUGUGUCGGCCAUUCAUUCAUUCAUUCAUUGAGUUAUUCAGCAGAUAUUUAUUGACCAUCUAUUAUAAGCUUUAAGUUCUUCCAACUUUGUCCUGACAUGUGCUGUGUCCACUGUCUCUCUCUCUCAUCUGUCCAUUUCCAAUCGCCCAAAACCUUGAGCUUGGGAAUUAGAUUAGGGUCACCAGUGUCCUGUACUAUGGACUCACGGGGUUUUAGAGCCCUGAUCCACUCUGUAGGUUAGCUGGGCCAGUCCUCUCAUUUCACACGUGAGGAAACUGUUGACCUACAGGGAUUAAGUGCCUUGUCCAAAGGUGGGGUUAACCUAGAGAUGGAAAAGUCUGGACUGGAGCCCAGGGGUUUAGAUGCCCUGUCAAUGCCUCAUCUCCGGUUUGGGCUACUUCAGUCAGUGAUGAAAUCAAGGGAAGGGGCAGGGAGGGGGCGAUCUCCGAGGUCAACACUUGGGGAAGGCCCUGGGGCCAGACUCACCCUCCCCUGUGCCUCCAGGGCAGCCUCAGGAUUUGGGUGAGGGCCAGGCCUGCCUCUGCAGUUCUGCCUUCUCUAGACCUUCAUGGCCAAGGCAUGUCUUAGAACUUGCACAGGAAAGUGUCAUAUUCAGCCCCAUCUUGGCUGAGCAGGGACCCCAGCCUUGACCCCUCCUGUGUUCUGGAGUCCCUUACCCUGCCCACUCAGGAUUCCGAUGCACCCAUCCAUUAUUUCAUAUUUAUUAACCACCAGGAGUGAAAUGGACAGACUCAUGGAAUUCAGAGACUAGUGGAGAAGUCAGACCCAGAAAAUGACAGUGAGAUGAAUGUUAGGAAAAGGGCCUAUGGGGCAGCUGCACUGCAAUCCUGGGAGGUCUAACUGGGCCCAAGCCUGAGGAAGAGCUUGGAGACGCCUUCACCAAACCUUAAGUGGGAAGGUCUGGGUGCUGUUGGAGGUUGGAGCCAGUGUGGUCUCCCUGCAGUCCAUUAGCUGACCCAUAAUCAAGGGCCCAAGGAGCUGUUCGUACAGCAGUUUGACGGUGUGGAGCAGAUAGGGGAUGGGGAAAUGGCCAGGUUGGGUCAAUCUGCUUGUCCCAACCGGUUCAGGAACAAGAUUAUUCAGCCAUGACUUGCUGAUCUUCAACCUAAGGAGCUGCUUCAAAUGCACAGAGCCAGUUGAAGUCUAAAUCCCAGCAAAACAUUUCUCCCUGUAAAAGUAAAAUCUCACCCCACCCCCUCUCCUG